rnacentral:misc_RNA from 1 species
GAUGAAGAACGCAGCAAAAUGCGAUAAGUAAUGUGAAUUGCAGAAUUCAGUGAAUCAUCGAAUCUUUGAACGCACAUUGCGCCCGCUGGUAUUCCGGCGGGCAUGCCUGUUCGAGCGUCAUUUCAACCCUCAAGCCCCCGGGUUUGGUGUUGGGGAUCGGCUCUGCCCUUCUGGGCGGUGCCGCCCCCGAAAUACAUUGGCGGUCUCGCUGCAGCCUCCAUUGCGUAGUAGCUAACACCUCCCAACUGGAACGCGGCGCGGCCAUGCCGUAAAACCCCAACUUCUGAAUGUUGACCUCGGAUCAGGUAGGAAUACCCGCUGAACUUAAGCAUAUCAAUAAGCGGAGGA